AAACACUUCAAGGAUGACUACUGUAGAACCACUCAGGAAAACAGACCUGUGGACGUGACCAGUAGGAGAGCACAACGCUGCACACACACUAGUGACACGUAUGCUGCCCGCCAGCAGCUGACAGGCCGCCCCGAGACCCUGCACGGGGCACAGGAGCACGCAGUGUGCAGCCUCUGACGUGGAGCAACUGUUAGGAGGUUUGAAUUAACGGGAGACUCAAGAGUUGAGGACUAAGAACCAGGUGAUGAGGCAGGAACGGGCAAGAGGUGACCGAAGAACAUGAGAAGUGGGGAGAAGCAAGACACCCAGCAUCUCCACAGGGCAGAGGUCAGGCCUGAGCGGGACUGCUGGGUUGGGGUCGGAGGGAUGGUGGGUCUCGCACCAUCUGGAGCAGGCUGAGAUCCGGAACAGGAACUCGACCCUGAGGGGUGCCAGCAGCAUGGUGCGGCUUUCGGCAGCACUACUUAAUUGAGCCCUUCUGGCACUGGGAGUGAAAAAUUCAAGGGAAGGGUCACCCAGACUGGGGGCCAGGCACACGGGAGUCAAGUGGAUGCCCCUGAGGAGGGACGCCUGCCCCGCUGGCCUCUCUGCUUCUGAGACUUCUCAAUUAAAAGGAAAUAACUUCA